ensembl:lncRNA
CAAAAGUAUUUAGUGAUAGUAACUGUUUGCUUGUGAUAUCUAAUUAUGGUAUGGUAAUAAUUUUUUAAAGUACAAUUUAUAGUAAUUAUUGGACUAAAUCGGAUCUUAUAAAUGCUAGUUAUGUGUAUGUGCAUUGAUAUAUUAAAAACAGCCAAAUAUUAACGCUAAUUCCUUCCUCUGCAGGUUGGUGUGGUCACGUGACUGCGUGGCUACGUCUGAUUGGUGAAACAGUGUCAUGUGGUUUAUUGUUGCUACUUCCGGACGGUGAAACGUAAUCAUGUGGCGGUAUUUGUCCCCAAGAGCAUCUGGCAAAAACAAAGCAUAUAAAUGGUUUAAAAAAGCAACGAGUCGAGUUUUGCCCAAUGUAACGACGUAAGAGUAGAGUUUCUAAUUCACAAAUAAACUCAAGUAAAAAUAUGGCGUUGUAAACCUAACUAUUUUUUCCCCAAAAAUGUACUCAAGAUAAAUGUAACGGAGUACAUGUACCUCGUUGCUACCCACCUCUGCAUAUGACAAAAAGGACAUUUGCCUUUUCAGUCAUUCACCAGUGGGUGGAGACAUUUUGGCCUGAGAAUAAUAUUAGUCGACUUUUAUUCAUUAGAACCUGAUUUUAGUUACCAAUUGUACAGGUGUAGAUACCGAUUGUACAUUCAGUAGAUAAAAACAAAUACAUAUUUAGACGCCCUUAUCCAGAGCGACUUAAAAUCACUAGUUACAGGGACAGUCCCCCCCCCUGGAGACACUCGGGGUUAAGUGUCUUGCUCAGGGACACAAUGGUAGUGAGUGGGAUUUGAACCUGGGUCUUCUGGUUCAUAGGCGAGUGUGUCACCCACAGGCGACUAGCACCGAAUGGUUCGGACUGUAUUUCCAGGAUAAUGGGGUGCUCUUCGUCCAGCUCUCAGACCGCUGGCCAGGAAAACAGACCGGCCACGAAACCCGAGGAGAGUAACGGAGACACGACUUUCGUCGCCCGCAAUGGAAGUGCUGCAGAAGACACAGAAACCAUCGAAGAUCAGAUGCAGCUGCCCGUUCAGAGUGCCUCACCGGAUGGGGAGGUGGUGGAGCCUGUAGUGGAGGCCUGCGAGGCCACCGAGGGCCUGGCAGUGGAAGAAGGUGCGUCAGCCAUCGCAGAGCCGGAGCCUGGUGCUGAGAGCGUGGAACUUGCUGCUCCUGCUGCUGAAGCACUGGGGCCUGAGACAGCAGUGGAAGUGCUGGCCGCUGCUGCUGAAAGUGUCGAAGCUGCUGCUGAAGCUGCUGCUGAAGCUGAGGCUGCUCCUGAAACUGAGGCUGCUGUUGAAGCUGCUCCUGAAACCGAGGCUGCUCCUGAAACCGAGGCUGCUGUUGAAGCUGCUCCUGAAACCGAGGCUGCUGUUGAAGCUGCUCCUGAAACCGAGGCUGCUCCUGAAACUGAGGCUGCUGUUGAAGCUGCUGCUGAAGCUGAGGCUGUUGUUGAAGCUGGCAUGGCUCCUGAAGCAGAGCCUCAACUAGAAGCUGUGGACCCUCUGGAGGUUCCAGCUUCCAGUGAAGCAGAUGAAUCUGUGCAACCUGUUGAAUGUGCAAGUGUAGUUCAGAAAGCCGAUGCUAGUCUACCUGCUGAAUCCAACAUUCCUAACGAAUCACCUCCCAAAGAAGAAGCUGUGGCUUCCUGCCCUGUAGAAACGACACAAGCCGUGGAAGCUGAGCUUCCUGUCCCAAAAGAAGCUGUAGCUGCAGAGGCUGUGGAAAGUGCAGAAGACUCCUCAGCGCCCAAGGCCACAAACAUCUCAGUGGUGGAGCCCAGUGCUGCUGAAGCUGAGAAGGUGGAGGAACCUGUUCCAGUCCCUGAGACUGACGAGAGCUUGGCUCCAGGGCGUGAGGUGGAGAGUGUUGCCGCACCCGAAUCAGACAGCACUUCUGAAGCAGCGGCAGCUGUGGAGGCCAAGAUAGAAGGUACCUCGCUUGCUCGUGAGACUAGUUUAGACAAUGACGGAAGUACACUGCGUGUAGCCCUUCUUUCACUUGCAGAUCCGUUGUGGUUACAGGUUAAUGUUCACGCUUUCUUUCCGUUGGCCACUAUACCUGCUGCACCUGACAGAAGAGAGUCUUGCAAGACCCAGAGAUGACUCCUGUCAAGUCAAGCUGCAGGAACUUGUGCUGGAGUUGAAAGUGUUCAGCUCAUCCUAUAAGACAACCUGACACCUUCACACUGAAUUAUACAGCCCUGUUCCUCCUGGCCUACUGCCACUUUUCUGCUCCGUACCGAGUUAAGCCUUUAAAUACACCACUUUGCUGCCCUGAAACUGAUCAAGCCCGAUAUAGUUAAUUUUCCAUUUUGUUCCUAAGUCACGAUAAAACAAUGGGCUGCAAGAUUAAUUUAUGAUUGUCACUUGCUGGCUUUCAUGAAUCACUUGAUACAGACGCGUUUCUGGCCUCGUCCCUGUGAUGAACAGUAUCAAUAUUGUCGUAAGAUUGAACGGAACCUCGAGCACCAUGAAGACAAUGCAACCAGAGAGAUGUAGAAAGUGGCGCAGCAGUGUGUCACGCUCUUCCCCAGACCAUGUUGUGUUCACAACAGGGUCUCUCUUUCUCGCGCUCUGACUUUACUGUCUUUGUGCUUUGCCAAGGACUAUGAUUAAUUUAUCUUCUGGUGCCUCAGAUUACGUGAAAAUCUAAAGGUUUUAUUUUUCAGGAUACAUUUUCAGAACAAGGCCUUUUGUGUCCAGAUGUGUACUACAGUCCAUGAUCAUAACGGCAUAAGCAUAUGGCCAGUCAUUCAUCAUGUUGUGUUACAGUAACACAAUAGGCAGUCCCAGAUCCAAAUGGGUAAUUAUGAAUUUUCUAAAGCAGAAAGUGAACAAGAUGGAGACGUAUGUUGAAUUUGCUUGAGGGAACCUAACGUGCCGACCUGGAAGUGCUCCGGUCUGCUCCAGGGAGGGAAUCAGACAGAGAAUCAAUAUCAAAAUCACGAUCUUCAUUUGAAUGUAAAUCUCUGAUGAGCAGACUUGUGUUCUAGCUUUUUAGGAGCGGUCACUGUGGCCGUCGGUGUUGGGACCGUUGCUGAAGGGACACCGUGUACUUAUGCAGCACAGAGGUCGGCCUCUUAAACCCUGCCUGCACGUGCAGCCUGGAGGGCGUUGCAUAACUGCAGAUCUCCGUCUCACCCCCCUCUCUGUGGGUUGGGGAGAAAAAAAGGGCCGGUUUGCGUGUGAUUUGGGGAGAAGGAGAAGGAAAGUCUGUUCAGGAGUGCAGGAAUGGUGGUAGGGUGCUAGUAGCCUAGUGGGUAACAAACUCGCCUAUAAACCAGAAGACCCAGGUUCAAAUCCCACUUACUACACUUAACCCUAAGUUGCUCCAGGGUGGGACUGUCCCUAUAACUACUGAAUGUAAGUCGCUAUGAAUAAGGACGUCUGAUAAAUGUUGUAAAUGAAUGUUGACUUGUUGUGUGUCAGCGAGGUGUUUUAGUCUUUUCUCGCGCCUGUGAAGCGCGUGUUUAAAAUGCUGCUGAACCCCAGCGCCGCGCUCCAACUUCCUGUCUGUGGCUUCUGCUUCUCAGGGGACGCACCAGAGACCUCGCCAGGGACUGGAGCGGAAGUGGCCAAAACGGCGGAGGAGGCUCCUGGUGAGACCACACCCGCUAGUGUUACACCUCCACCACUUUUUAACGCCCCUGGGAAUCUGCCUGCUCCUUUUGUGGGAUUUUGAAAAUGUUCACACUCAUCUCGCUUCUGCCUUGCAGCUGCCACCGACGAGUAAUGCUCCUGUCCCAUUCGGAGGACAUGUCUGACAUGGAGCCCAAAGAACCAAGUGACGACGUUUACAUGAGCACACUGAUGCAUUCGCACACACUCUCUCACACAGGCACUUAACACGUUCUAGCUCAUUAGUAGAAAUGUAUUCAUUACUAGUCUGACACCAUUGUGCCUUCUGCCUUGCGAGCCAGGAGAUUCUCUCAUUUGUACAUAUUUAUACGUGUGCUCGUAUUAGCAUUUUUACAGACGCCCACUGGAAAGAUGGGGGACGGUGGUAGUGCCCAUUUUGUACCGCAAACCAUUCAGCUUAAGGUUUACUAACAAGUAAAAGUGGAGGGUCAGGGGUCAUGCGGUCACUUUCCACCCAUCACCCAUCACUAGAUGCUGUUUGAAGCGAAACAAAUGCUAAUUCACUUCUUUACACGUGGGAAAAAGAAGCAGAAAUGUCAGAACUGCGAAGAAGGAACACGCGAGUGCAGCGUAUUGAUGGUGAACGGCUGAAGAAAUGUACUUUUAGGAUACGGCCGGGCCGCAUGUGCUAAGAAAUAAUACCAGAAUUAUUAAAAGGCAGCAGAUUUGUCAUUAACACACAUUUGAUGGGCUAUGAAGGUUGAUUAAUAUUCAUCCCUUCUUUGCUUUUAGACGACACUUGUCGCUGUUUAAACGGACUUUCCAGUUUCCUGUCACCUUGUGUCACACCACUGGUGACGCUUCCGUCUGCAAAUGCAGCCUCAAAGUUGUGGGGAAACGUGUAAGCCUAAUCAAGGCAGGGGGGGGAACGAAAGUACCGUCGUCUUUACGUCUCUCUUCAUCUCAUCCCCGUCGUACGUUGUAUUAAAGUGUACGGUGGCGUGACACGGCUCCUUCGGAUUCAGCCUUGAAAUCCCUUUCCUUCAUCGGGGAUCCACUGGAUCCCUGGCAGCCCAGUCGGUCCCAACGUUUACCGUCUGCAGACGGUUGGUGGAAUAAAUUACGCCAGACUGACUUACUUAAAAACA